AUUUCCCAUCGUGCUGAGGCUGGUGGCAUGGCGGAGAAGGAUGACACCGGAGUUUGACGAAGAGGUGGUUUUUGAGAAUUCUCCACUUUACCAGUACUUACAGGAUUUGGGACACACAGACUUUGAAAUAUGUUCUUCUCUGUCACCAAAAACAGAAAAAUGCAUAACAGACGGACAACAAAAGUCUCCUUCAAGAGUCCUACCAAAACAAGGCAUCCUGUUAAACGUGGCUGAAACCAUCAAAAGUUGGAUUUUUUUUUCUCGAUGCAGUAGGAAAGAUGACUUACUUCACAAGUUGGACACUGGAUUUCGACUGGACUCACUACACACCAUCCUGCAACAGGAAGUCUUGUUACAAGAGGAUGUGGAGCUGAUUGAGCUACUUGACCCCAGCAUCCUGUCUGCAGGGCAGAGUCCACAACAGGGGAAUGGACACCUGCCAACACUUCACUCCCUGGCAACCCCUAAUAUUUGUUUGCUUGACAGGGUCAGUGCUGCUUGCCCAUUUAGUAAAGCUGGACAGCAUCCCAGUCAGCAUCUCAUUGGUCUUCGGAAAGCUGUCUACAGAACUGUAAGAGCCAACUUUCAAGCAGCAAGGCUAGCUACCUUAUAUAUGCUGAAAAACUACCCCCUGAACUCUGAGAGUGACAAUGUAACCAACUACAUCUGUGUGGUGCCUUUUAAGGAGCUGGGCCUUGGACUUAGUGAAGAGCAGAUUUCAGAAGAAGAAGCGCAUAACUUUACAGAUGGCUUCAGCCUGCCUGCAUUGAAGGUUUUAUUCCAACUCUGGGUGGCCCAGAGUUCAGAGUUCUUCAGACGGUUAGCCCUGUUACUUUCUACAGCCAAUUCACCUGCUGGACACCUCCUUACUCCCACACUUUUGCCUCAUUGCAUCUUAUCUGACGUGAUUCAAGGCCUACCUCAUGCACACUCUGCCUGUUUGGAAGAGCUGAAGCGCAGCUAUGAGUUCUAUCGGUACUUUGAAACUCAGCACCAGUCAGUACCCCAGCGUUUAUCCAAAACUCAGCAGAAGUCAAGGGAACUGAGUAACAUUCACACAGCAGUGUGCAGCUUGCAGCUCCAUCUGAAAGCUUUACUGAAUGAGGUAAUAAUUCUUGAAGAUGAACUUGAAAAGCUCGUAUGUACUAAAGAAACACAAGAAUUAGUGUCAGAAGCUUAUCAGAUCUUAGAACAGAAAUUAAAGUUGAUUCAGCCCCAUGUUCAAGCAGCAACAGUUGCUGGGAAGAGGCCAUUUCUCAGGUGGACAAACUACUACGAAGAAAUACAGAUAAAAAAGGCAACCCUGAAGUAACAUGUGAAAACCCGCACUGUACCACGGCAUCUUUGAUGAAGCCCACUCUGCACAUUGCAGACAAAGAUCCAAUCCCUGAGCAGCAGGAAUUAGAAGCUUAUAUAGAUGAUAUAGACAUAGACAGUGAUUUCACAAAAGGUGAUUUUUAUUACUUGUCUCAAGAAGACAAAGAGAGACAGAAGCGUGAGCAUGAAGAAUCCAAGAGGGUACUCCAAGAAUUGAAAUCUGUGCUGGGAUUUAAAGCUUCAGAAGCAGAACGGCAGAAGUGGAAGCAAUUACUGUUUAGUGAUCAUGCUGUGUUGAAAUCCUUGUCUCCUGUAGACCCAGUGGAACCCGUAAGUAAUUCAGAACCAUCAAUGAAUUCAGAUAUGGGAAAAGUUGAUAAAAAUGAUACUGAAGAGGAAAAUAGUAAACCUUCCACUAUUGACAAUGAACUAAGUAGGACUGAGUAUUUAUGUGAAAACCCUGUAGAGGAUGAAAAUAAAGACAAUUCUACAAAUGAAAUCCUCCUCCAAGGAGCAGAAGAAAGAAUGUAUUACCAAUGUGAAAGCGAAGGUGAAUCUCAACAAGCAGAUGGCGGUGGCCUGGCCGCUGCCCCACCAAUUUGCAGGGACUCAUUACAGCUGUAUCAGGCAGAGGCUGGCACGGCUACAGCUGUCACCAGAUUUUACCUUCACUGCUGGCCUUGCCGCAGAAGUGGCUGCUAGAUCUCUCUCCUUUACCACCAUGCAGGAACAGACUUAUGGCGAUGAGGAGGAAAAACAAAUAAAUGAAGAAGAGAAAAAUGACAUGGAAGAAAAUUAAGAACCAAGAUUGACAUGAAGUGAUUUCAGAUUCCUUUUAUGAAAGUGUUUAGCUCCAAGACUGGAAAGGGAGAAUGAGUAUAAGUUUACUAAAUAUAAAGCUAAGAUGUGAAUUUACAGGAAGAACCCUGGUUUCAAUAACUGAUCUGAAAUUAAGUAGUUACCUGUAAAUGGCAGAUCUGUUAGGAAAAUAAGAGAAAGGUAAGGGCUCUCUUGAAUAAACUGUUUUAUUUGUGGCA